CGAGGAGAUGAUGAAGGCCUUAGGGUCGUAAAGCUCUUUCGCCAGGGAUGAUAAUGACAGCUACCUGGUAAAGAAACCCCGGCUAACUCCGUGCCAGCAGCCGCGGUAAUACGGAGGGGGUUAGCGUUGUUCGGAAUUACUGGGCGUAAAGCGUACGUAGGCGGAUUGUAAAGUUAGAGGUGAAAUCCCAGGGCUCAACCCUGGAACUGCCUUUAAAACUGCUGGUCUUGAGUUCGAGAGAGGUGAGUGGAAUUCCGAGUGUAGAGGUGAAAUUCGUAGAUAUUCGGAGGAACACCAGUGGCGAAGGCGGCUCACUGGCUCGAUACUGACGCUGAGGUACGAAAGUGUGGGGAGCAAACAGGAUUAGAUACCCUGGUAGUCCACACCGUAAACGAUGAAUGCCAGUCGUCGGGUAGCAUGCUGUUCGGUGACACACCUAACGGAUUAAGCAUUCCGCCUGGGGAGUACGGUCGCAAGAUUAAAACUCAAAGGAAUUGACGGAAACUC
rnacentral:rRNA from 1 species